rnacentral:rRNA from 1 species
AUCUUUGAACGCAUAUUGCGCUCUCUGGUAUUCCGGAGAGCAUGCCUGUUUCAGUAUCAUUUGAUCAUAUCAAAAUCGGAUUUUUUUUCGAUUUUGGAAAUUGGGCCUUUUAUAAUGCUUGAACUUUCGGGAUCCAGCAGGCCUAAAAUUCGCAUUAACAAUGCAGGAAAAAUAUUUUGCAUGAUUUCAUGUCUAAAAGGCGAAAAGCUUAUUAGUUGAUUUCGGUCAUAUUUGCUGAUUAGCUUUGGACGGCAUGCGAAUCUGCAUCACAAACUUGACCUGAAAUCAGGUAGGACUACCCGCUGAACUUAAGCAUAUCAAUAAGCGGAGGAAAAGAAACUAACAAGGAUUCCCCUAGUAACGGCGAGUGAAGCGGGAACAGCUCAAAUUUAAAAUCUGGCAGGUUACCUGUCCGAGUUGUAGUUUAUAGAAGGCGUUUUCGCUAGGUCCGCAGGUACAAGUCCCUUGGAAUGGGGCAUCACAGAGGGUGAGAAUCCCGUGAACGAUCUGGAGUGACCUGGUAUGUGAUACACCUUCGAAGAGUCGGGUUGUUUGGGAUUGCAGCCCUAACUGGGUGGUAAAUUUCAUCUAAAGCUAAAUAUUGGCGAGAGACCGAUAGCGAACAAGUACCGUGAGGGAAAGAUGAAAAGAACUUUGAAAAGAGAGUGAAACAGUACGUGAAAUUGUUGAAAGGGAAGCGUUUGGAAUCAGCAUUGCAAGCAGGAAAUCAGCCAUGCCUUGUGCUUGGUGUACUUUCUUGUUGGCAGGUCAGCGUCGGUUUUGUCUGAUGGACAAAUGGCUGGGGAAGGUAGCUACUUGUAGUGUUAUAGCCCUAGCUUUUACAUUUGAGGAGACCGAGGACUGCAGCCAAGUUUGGGGGAGUGUGUCGCUGCGAAGAUGGUGUUUGUGGACAGCUUGCUGAGCACAAUUCAACAUUCGUCGUCAAUCGGC